AUUGAACGCUGGCGGCAGGCCUAGCACAUGCAAGUCGAGCGGAUGAUGGGAGCUUGCUCCUGGAUUCAGCGGCGGACGGGUGAGAAAUGCCUAGGAAUCUGCCUGGUAGUGGGGGACAACGUUUCGAAAGGAACGCUAAUACCGCAUACGUCCUACGGGAGAAAGCAGGGGACCUUCGGGCCUUGCGCUAUCAGAUGAGCCUAGGUCGGAUUAGCUAGUUGGUGGGGUAAUGGCUCACCAAGGAGACGAUCCGUAACUGGUCUGAGAGGAUGAUCAGUCACACUGGAACUGAGACACGGUCCAGACUCCUACGGGAGGCAGCAGUGGGGAAUAUUGGACAAUGGGCGAAAGCCUGAUCCAGCCAUGCCGCGUGUGUGAAGAAGGUCUUCGGAUUGUAAAGCACUUUAAGUUGGGAGGAAGGGCAGUAAGUUAAUACCUUGCUGUUUUGACGUUACCGACAGAAUAAGCACCGGCUAACUCUGUGCCAGCCGCCGCGGUAA
rnacentral:rRNA from 1 species